ensembl:snRNA U6 U6 spliceosomal RNA
GUACUCGCUUCAGCAGCACAUGUACUAAAACUGGACCACACAAAGAUUAGCAUGGGUCCCGUGCAAGAAUGACACACAAAUUCAUGAAACGUUCCAUAUUUUU